UCGUAGCUCAAUGGAUAGAGCAACGGACUUCGGAUCCGUCGGUUGGGGGUUCGACUCCCUCCGGG
rnacentral:tRNA from 1 species